rnacentral:rRNA from 1 species
CCUACGGGGCGCUGCAGUGGGGAAUAUUGCGCAAUGGGCGAAAGCCUGACGCAGCGACGCCGCGUGAGGGAUGAAGGUCUUCUGAUCGUAAACCUCUGUCAGCAGGGAAGAACGGUCACUGUGCUAAUCAGCAGUGAAUUGACGGUACCUGCAAAGGAAGCACCGGCUAACUCCGUGCCAGCAGCCGCGGUAAGACGGAGGGUGCUGGCGUUAAUCGGAAUUACUUGGCGUAAAGCGCUCGUAGGCGGUAUGUCAAGUCAAGGGUGAAAUCCCCGGGCUCAACGUGGGAACUGCCUUUGAAACUGGCAAACUGGAGUGUGUGAGAGGAUAGUGGAAUUCCAGGUGUAGGGGUGAAAUCCGUAGAGAUCUGGAGGAACAUCAGUGGCGAAGGCGACUAUCUGGCACAUAACUGACGCUGAGGAGCGAAAGCGUGGGUAGCAAACAGGAUUAGAUACCCCUGUAGUC